ACUAACAAGGAUUCCCCUAGUAACUGCGAGUGAAGAGGGAAUAGCUCAAUGUGUGAAUCAGGUCGGGAUUAGCUCCUUGCUCGAGUUGUACACUACAGACGGCGGAUCAGCGCUUGGGAGGUCGAGGUGGAUGUCCGAUGAAACUCGGUGCCAUUGAGGGUCAUAGUCCUGUACUUGCCUUGUUACCUCCCGCGCCUUUGACCGACGCUCUGCGAGUCGCGUAGUUUUGUAUUGCUGCGCUAAUCGGGAGGUAGAGCCCUUCUAAAGCUAAAUAUGAUGACAUGACCGAUAGCAUACAAGUACCGCGAGGGAAAGGUGAAAAGCAACCAUGCAGAAUGGGUUGAAACAGAAGUGAAAGCGCUACUGGGAUAAGGGCUGGGGACUGCUUGUGUCGCUUGCGCGUGCUUUAGUGCUGUGCUUGUGAACGGCAUGCUUCAAUUGGGAUGGGGAGAACAGGGCCUCGGGAAUUCGGCCGGAUCCGUCCGGUGUUGCAGCCCGGGUGCCAAUGGAGCCCCUCCCGACUGUUGAGUGUCUUGCGGUUGUCAGCCGCCCGUCUUGAAACACGGACCAAGGAGUGCACCUUGCAUGCGAGUCGAAGGGACUGUAAUCCUGGAGGCGCAGCGAAAGCGAAGGCCACGAACCCUCACGGCGUCGGUGGCACCCGCCUUGUGCGAGGUAGAGCAUGUAGGGUGCGACCCGAAAGAUGGUGAACUAUGCCCGGGUAAGGUGAAGCCAGUGGAAACGCUGGUGGAGGCCUGUAGCGGUUCUGACGUGCAGAUCGAUCGUGUAACCUGGGUAUAGGGCGAAAGACCUAUCGAACCGUCUA
rnacentral:rRNA from 1 species